GUCUUUUCGAUGCAACUCAGAUAAAUGAAGAAUUCAGAAGGCUCACCACUGUUGGCCUUGAGACAACAUUCAUCGCAAAACUGGACUAGUAUACCCCAAAAAUAAUGGCACUGGUGUCCUCAAGAGGAGGAGCUGCAAAAAUGAAGAUUCAGCACAUAAAGAAAAUGCUGCUAGAGGAACCGUCUGUAGAAAGGAGGAGAGAAGCUGCAAUCCGUAGCUUGUUUACCUGAGAGAACAGGAACAGGAUCUCUUCAAAGAACAGUUGGAUGGUGAUGAAUUCGUGAAGAUUGUUGUGAGCAGAGGGUCAUCUGAACCAGCCAAUGCAACAGUGGUGAUUGAGGAAGAAGAAGUCCUGGAUGGCCUGACUGUCCCAAGAGCAUGUGCCUUGCUCAUGGGACUUAUGUAUGCACUCAACCUGUGCUAUCCAGAAGAACUAAAAAGCACUUUUGAGGCAUUUCAAAAGAUAUUCCUUGAGCUGGAUGCUCUGAGAGCUAGUCCCAAGGUAAUGUCUCUUAAAAGUAAACUGCUGUACUAAAAAUUAGGCUGCACUCUAUUUCUGUAAAUGUUGGACUGUUAUAUUUAUGUUCGUUCUUGGUACAACAUACAGCACCUGUAUUUGCCAGUGGGUUAUUGAUUAACACACACAGCUAAAACAAAUGCAGUUACAUGCAACAAUAAUUUCAUUUAAUGAUAAUUUUGAACAUUUUUUAUUUUUUGUACUUUUGAGGAGUUAUCAAUAUUUAGACCUCCACUAAAAUACAUAUAGUGGGGCAAAAAAGUAUUUAGUCAAUCACCAAUUGCGCAAGUUCUCCCACUUAAAAAGAUGAGAGAGGCCUGUAAUUUGCAUCAUAGGUUCUCCUCAAUGAGAGACAAAACGAGAAAAAAAAUCCAGAAGAUCACAUUGUCUGAUU